rnacentral:lncRNA from 1 species
AUUUGUUUCAUAUAGUCUACUCAUUGAUCAAGAAAACUCAGAUUAAAUUAUGAAGAGUAUGACACAUUCCAUGACUCGAGUUUAAUCUAGGAUAUUAAGGUUAAAAGGAUUAAAUUACAUUGAAACAUUGGUCACGAAAAGGUUGCAUCGAAUCAUCGAUCUUAUUAUUACUUGGGUAGCAGUGAUGCAUUACUAGAUGCCGCUCACUGUUUAUAAUUUUAUAAUAUGAUUUUAAAAUUAUUGCCAACGUAAUAAUAACCUAUAGGGUCACACACAAAGAACGUAAUUAAAAGGGAAUUAAUUUAAAUUGUAAAGAUUUAAAUAUGUCAAUAUGAUUGAUAGAAUUUAAAUUACGAAUUUAAAUUAAUAGGAUAAUUUAUAUAUAGGUAUAUUAAUUAAGUAAGACUUAAUUAAGAUAUAUAUAUAUAUAUAUAUAUAUAUAUAUAUAAAUUUCGGAUUUUAUUUUAAUUGGAUUAGGGUUUUGAUUAAUUCCUAUUAACUACUAUAUAUAUGAUAUAUAGCAGCCAUUUUAAGGAAUGAUCAUAAACUCACAAACCCUAGCCGCUCUUAGAGAGAGACUAGAGAAAAGUUCGAAAAUCUUGUUCCUUUGGUGGCUAGUACUGCAGCUCCUUUUAUUGCAGAAUCGUGCGACGAUUUGUGUACGUUCAUGUGGAUACCGUAGAGACGUAGUACCGUGAGGAAUUGCGUUGGAGAUUCGGAGCGUUUCAGAAAAUUCUAUAAUCAGUAUAAUAUCUAACCGCUGAAUUAAUUGUUUUUCGCAUGGAUCCUGUUUUAGGGUUUCGGAAAUUGCUUUAAAAUUUUAAUUUUCGUUGUGCGUUUCUGUGCCAAAACCCAUUAUAUAUAUAUAUAUAUAUAUAUAUAAACUGAGAUAACUUUUACCGAUAAUUUUGAAAAAUGGGUAAAUGGGGGUUCAUAGCCAAAAUUACAACAAAUACUUCAUAAAAAUUCCCUCAAUAUUUUUAACAACAUUUAUUCAUCAAUAAUAUAACUUAUAAUAUUAACAACCAGAUCAUUCCCAAGAAAGAGGGGGAUUUUCUAUAAGGAUUUCUCCCUAUUGGCGCGCAAUUAGGUGACCAAACCCCUUUCCUCGACAGAACUUUCUAGACAUUGUUAAUAAUACAAAUAAUAAUAUGAAUAACUUAUCAUCUCAAUUAUUAAUUUAAUAAUAUAAAAUAUUGUGACAAUAAUUGAAUCAAUAACAUGAGAUACUAUGCAACAAUUACUGUGGUAAUAAUUGAAAAAAACUGAGUGACUUCUCACGUAAGCAUCAAUAAUCAAUACUGUGAGGUACUAUGCGACCAGGCGUAUUUCUGUACUUUUAUCACUGGGUAUAUCAACAGUUAACGGUAAAACGUUCGCCAUUACUUUUAUAAAAAGAUAUUUUUUUGUCAUUUUCAAAUUUUGACAAUAAUUCCAUUGUGGAGUCCACCAAUAAUUGUGUCGUCAUACGAAUAUUCCCUGUUAAAACGAAUAUUCCCUGUUAAAAUGAAUAUUUCGAGAAAAUAAAUUCAUCUUUAUUUGUAAAAGUUGGGGUCUUACAACCUCUCCUUAUGAAAUUUCAUCCUCAAAAUUGGUGUACGUACCUGGUAUGUCGAAGAUGUGAGGAUACCUUGAUUUUAUUUCAGAUUCUAACUCCCAGGUAAUUUUCUCAACAUCGUGGUUUCUCCAUAAAACUUUGACUUGAGGUAUAACCUUGGAGCAUAUAAUAUGUUCCUUCGUAUCCAAGAUUUUAAUAGGUACCUCUUCAUGCGUUAAAUCUUCUGCUAUCUCGUCUGGUUGUAAUUAAAUAAUGUAGUUUGGGUCUUCCACAUAUUUACGUAACAUAGAUAUAUGAAAAACGUUAUAAACACGAGACAUACUUGGCGGUAAGGCGAGUCUAUAGGCCAUAGUUCCUACUUGAUCGAGGAUUUCAAAUGGGCCAAUGGAUCGAGGAUUGAGAUUUCCCCUCUUUUUGAAUAUUGUAACUCCUUUCCAUGGAGCAACACGUAACAACACAUGAUCCCCAACAUUGAAUUCCACGUCCUUUCGAUGAAGAUCAUCAUAACUCUUUUGUCGAUCUUGUGAGGUUUUUAUAUAUUUUCGGAUCAUUUGAAUCUUUUUCGUAGUCAUACAUACCAACUCCGGUCCCAAUAAUGUUGCUUCACCCACCUCGUCCCAGCAUACUGGAGAACGACACUUGUGUCCAUACAACGCCUCGAAUGGAGCCAUGCCUAUACUUGCUUGAUAACUGUUGUUGUAGGAGAAUUCCACCAAUGGUAAGAACUUGUCCCAACUUCCUUUGAAGUCUAAGACACAGAGUCUUAAUAGAUCUUCAAGAGUUUGAAUAGUCCUCUCCAACUGUCCGUCCGUCUGAGGAUGAUAUGCCAAGCUGAAUCAUAAAUUCAUGCCCAUAGCUUUUUGCAAACUAACCCUAAAUCGUGAAGUGAAUCUUGGGUCUCUAUCAGAAACUAUAGAUACUGACAUACCAUGCAGUCUUACAAUCUCAUUUAUGAAUAUAUGAGCAAGACGUUCAAGUGAAUAAAAUUCUCGUAUAGGUAGGAAAUGAGCAGAUUUGGUCAAUCUAUCGAUAAUGACCCAAAUUGCAUCUAUGCCUUGAGAAACUUUGGAAAGACCAGUAACGAAAUCCAUGGUAAUGUACUCCCACUUCUAUUCUAGAAUUUCAAGUGGUUGCAAUGGACCUUUUGGCACUUGAUGCUCCGCCUUGACACGUUGACAAGUUAGACACCUUGAGAUAAAUUUUGGGAUCUCUCUUUCCAUAUUGCUCCACCAAAAUGUAUGUUGAAGAACACGAUACAUUUUAGUACUCCCAUGAUGGGUUUGAAAUGGUGUGUUGUGCGCCUCCAUCAUGAUUUUAUACUUCAAGUCAAAGUCGUUAGGAACACAAAGUCUGGAGUUGACUCGAAGUAUUCCUUCUUCAUCGAUUCUUGCUUCCGGAAUAGUAUCUUCUUGUAUUUUCUUCCUCAUACACAUCAGCUCUAGGUCUGUAGCUUGGGUAGCUUUAACUUUAUCGAUUAAAGUCGGUUCUACUCGUAUAUUUUCCAUCAUCACUUGGGUCCCUGGAGUCUUUAACUCUAUCUCUAUCCUUUGUAAGUCAUACAAAAUGAGCAUUUGCGUUGACAAUAUCGUACUUGUACCCGCAUAUGAGCUUCUACUCAACGCGUCAGCUACCACGUUCUCUUUUUCAGGAUGGUAUUGAAUGGUAUGAUCGUAAUCUUUCAAUAGCUCGAGUCAACGUCGUUGUCGCAUGUUGAGUUCUUUUUGGGUGAAAAAAUAAUUGAGGCUUUUAUGAUCUGUAUAGAUCUCCACCUUCUCCCCAUACAAGUAAUGCCUCCAGAUUUUAAGAGCGAAAAUGACAGCUGCCAACUCUAGACCAUGAAUAAGAUAAUUCCUCUCAUAUCCUUUGAGUUGUUGUGAGGCAUAGGCUAUGACUUUCCCAUGUUGCAUGAGAACUCAUCCUAACCAGAUGUAGAUGACGAAUCCCUCCGAACCAGAUGGUAUUGUCAGAACCAGUGCUGAAAUGAGUCUCCUCUUGAGUUCUUAAAAACUCUUCGCACAUUCCUCGCUCCAACCAAAUUUUAUAUCUUUUCGAGUCAGCUGAGUUAAUGGAGUAGAGAUUCGAGAAAAACCUUCCACGAAUCUCUGAUAAUAACCAGCUAAGCCAAGAAAGCUACGUACUUCGGUCACUGACUUAGGUUGCUCCCAGCUUUGAAUUGCUUCAAUCUUUGGCGGGUCAAUAUAUAUUCCAUGAUUUGACAUCACGUGCCCAAGGAAUGCUACUUCCUCAAGCCAGAACUCAUAUUUCUUUAACUUGGCAUAUAGCUUAUUUUCACGAAGCUUUUAGAGUGUUAAGCUCAAGUGUUGCUCAUGAUGUUCAUGGCUUUUGGAGUAAAUGAGGAUGUCAUCAAUAAAGACAACCACAAAAUGAUCCAAAUAUUCCUCGAAUACUCGGUUCAUCAUAUCCAUGAAGGCAGUAGGAGCAUUAGUUAAUAUAAAAGACAUAAUGCCCAUACAGAGUUCUAAAAGCAGUCUUUAGAAUGUCAUCAGUUUUAAUCUUUAACAGUUUCAGAGAUUCGUAUGGAAAAAUUUUCCCAGGGGCGCUGCCCCCGACCCUGCUCGCUGACCGGUCAGCGAGACCACCCGCCGGCUGAUCGAUCAGCCGGACCACCGCCAGGGGGGGAGACCCCCCCUUGGACCCCCCCCGUCGUAACGCACGAUGGUCGUGUCCCCCAUAUGUUAUAUAUAGUUUUCUUUAAUUAUAUAUAAAUUAUUAUGUGCUUAUUGUGAUAUGCAUGGUGCACAGUUAUGGCCUUUUGACCCAUAGGUUAGUGGUUUUUGGUUUUGAAAUACGGCUUGCAUGUCGUGCCUUUCUAUAAAUUCUAAUGUAAUAUUCUCUUCUCAUCUAAAUCCCCUCGAAUGUAACUCGAGGUUUCUUUAUGUCAUGUAAUAAUCUGUAAUUGAUGAAGAUGUCAAGAUGGAGAACACAAUGGAAAGAUGAUGAUGGAGAGUAGGCACAUGCUUGAGGAAGAUCCAAGGAAGCUAUUUAUUUUAAGAUCUUUUACCACCUUAGAUUGACCUUCAAUCUUUCAUUAGCUUGAAAAGAUUGACAGUGGAUUGGGCCAUAACUAUGACACAUUUAAUUUCGCACUUUAUUUAUGCUUGUAUGUGAUAUGAUAUGAUAAAUAAUGUGCAUGCUUAAUAAGAUUAAAAUUGGUGAGAUCUAAAUUAAUUUAUAAAAUCCCUCAAUAAAAUAUUAAGUCUAAAAUCAGAUGCCUUCCAAUGAAUAACACUCAUUAAGACCUUGAUCAAUAGAUGUAGGUUUGCCAAAACCAAGUACCCUAUUUAGUAAGAUGCGAUAGGAUAAUUGUGAUAUCCAAACUGUUAAAAUCAUUGGGCCUGACUUAACUAAGUUAUCUCAAUAGGAUUGUGGACUUAGAGGUAUGGAGUUUGGUAGGUACCAUUAGAUGGAGUAGAAACAAGCGUUGUUUACCAAACUAUCCAGGAGUUAUAUAUGAUAUAAUUGACAAGGGGGUGUCUACCUAAAUAAUUGUGUUUUAAGAGAUUAGCCAAAGCUAACUUAAGAUAUAAUGAAAUAUGGAUCUUGGCUCACUAGAAAGAUUUAAUAGAAAAUGCUUUCCGAAUUAAUGGUGAGGGCUAUUAAUUUGAAUAAAAUUGUGGGAGGUAUAUUUUGAAUGUACUAUUAUCAAUUAUAUAAUAUCAACUCUGCAAUUUGACUUAUUAUUUUUUGGCACUUAUAAAUUGUAGAUAUCAAAUGGCAAACAACAACAACACAAAUAGUCUUUCAUUACGAUCAGUCCUUGAAAAGGACAACCUGAGUGGAAUUAAUUUCCUUGACUGGCAUAGGAACUUGAGGAUUGUCCUCAAACAAGACUGCAAGCUAUAUGUCCUUGAUGGACCCAUUCCUGCAGAACCAGUUGUCACUGCACCACGUGCGGAGCAUAAUGCUUACAAGAAGCAUCAAGAUGAUGCUCUGGAUGUGAGUUGUGUCAUGCUAGCAACCAUGAACGCUGAGCUUCAGAAGCAACAUGAGUUGAUGGAUGCUUAUGAGAUGAUCGAGCAUCUCAAGAAAUUGUUCGAAGGGCAUGCUCGACAGGAGAGGUAUGAUACAAGCAAGGCGUUGUAUCACUGCAAAAUGGGUGAACGUGAUCCAGUUGGUCCACAUGUGCUGAAAAUGAUUGGGUAUAUUGAGUACCUUGAUAGGUUGGGUUUUCCAAUCACUCCGGAAGCCCAAACUGACCUUGUUUUGCAAUCUUUGAACAGCAGCUACUCUCAAUUUGUUAUGAACUAUCUUAUGAAUGAAAUUGAGAAACCCCUUACUGAGUUGUUGAGCAUGUUAAGAACUGCCGAGAACAACAUGAAAAAGGCAGGACCCGCUCCCAUAAUGAUGGUGCAAAAGGGGAAUGCUAAGGGAAAUUGGAAAGGCAAGAAGAAGAUAGGAUCUAAAUCUUUUGCCAAACCCAAUUCCAAAACCAAACAGGCUUUAAAACCUAAAGGUGGGGUGGCUAAAGAAGGUGAAUGUCACUUCUGUGGAAAACCUGGACACUGGAAAAGGAACUGUCAUGCUUAUCUGGAAGAAGUGAAGAAAAGAAAAGGAAGUACGACUUCUGAUUCAGGUAUAUAUGUUAUAGAAGUCAACUUAUCUACUUCUACAUCAUGGGUAUUGGAUACUGGAUGUGGUUCUCACAUUUGUGUUAAUGUGCAGGGACUCCGAAGGAGUAGAACUUUGGCGAAAGGAGAGGUUGACCUACGAGUUGGAAAUAGAGCAAAAGUUGCUGCACUGGCCGUAGGAACUUAUCAUUUAUCUUUGCCCACUGGGCUAGUUUUAGAAUUAGAAGAUUGUUAUUUUGUGCCUGCUAUAAGCAAAAACAUUAUUUCUGUUUCUUGUUUGGACAAGAAAGGUUUUUCAUUUAUAAUAAAGAACAAUCGUUGUUUGUUUUACUUAAAUGAUAUUUGUUAUGGUGUUGCACAAUUGUUUAACGGUCUCUAUAUUCUUGAUUUAGAAAUGCCUAUCUAUAACAUAAAUACAAAACGAUUUAAAUCAAAUGAUUCAAAUCCGACAUAUCUCUGGCACUGUCGUUUAGGCCAUAUAAAUGAGAAACGCAUAUCCAAACUCCAUAAAGAUGGGUUCUUGGAUUCAUUUGAUUUUGAAUCAUAUGAGAAAUGCGAGUCUUGUUUAUUAGGCAAGAUGACUAAAGCCCCUUUCACUGGACACAGUGAACGGGCUAGCGAUGUAUUGGGACUUAUACAUAGUGAUGUAUGUAGACCCAUGAGUUUGUUAGCAAGAGGUAGGUUUUAUUACUUCAUUACAUUUAUUGACGACUUUAGUAGAUAUGGAUAUGUGUAUCUUAUGAGACACAAAUCCGAAUCCUUUGAAAAGUUCAAGGAAUUCAAGAAUGAAGUUCAAAACCAAUUUGGCAAAAGCAUAAAAGCCCUUCGAUCCGAUCGAGGAGGUGAAUACUUAAGCCAAGACUUUGAUGACCUUCUAAAGGAGUGUGGUAUUAUAUCACAGCUCACUCCACCUGGAACACCGCAAUGGAAUGGUGUAUCUGAGAGGAGGAAUCGAACCUUGUUGGACAUGGUACGAUCAAUGAUGAGUCAUGCAGAUCUUCCAAUAAGCUUCUGGGGUCAUGCCCUAGAGACAGCUGCAUUCACACUUAACCGUGUUCCUACAAAGACGGUUCAGAAGACACCAUAUGAAAUGUGGACUGGGAAACGUCCUAGUAUGUCGUUCAUGAAGAUUUGGGGUUGCGAGGCGUUCGUAAAACGUCUGAAUUCUGACAAGCUCGGACCCAAAUCUGACAAAUGUAAUUUUGUGGGAUACCCAAAGGAAACAAAAGGGUAUUAUUUCUACAAACCUUCUGAGAACAAAGUGGUUGUUGCUCGAACUGGUAUUUUUCUAGAAAGAGAAUUUGUCUCUAAAGGAAACAGUGGGAGGAAAGUAGAACUCGAAGAAAUUCGAGAACCACAAAAUAUCAUUGAACCUGAGUUGGAACAUGAGCAGGAACCACAAGAAAUUGUGGAAAGUGAACCUGCUCAAAUUACACAAGUCAUUCGUAGAUCUGGUAGGACACGCCAAGAGCCUGAGAGAUAUUAUGGAUAUCUUGUGACUCAAAACGGCGAUGUGAUGCUCAUAGAUCAAGAUGAGCCUGCUUCCUACCAAGAAGCUAUGAAUGGACCAGAUUCUGAGAAAUGGCUUGAAGCCAUGAAAUCUGAGAUGGACUCCAUGUAUACUAACCAAGUAUGGACUCUGGUUGAUCCACCCGAAGGGGUAAAACCAAUCGGGUGCAAGUGGGUUUUCAAGAAGAAAACCGACAUGGAUGGUAAUGUACAAACCUAUAAAGGCCGACUGGUAGCAAAAGGUUUCAAACAAAUUCAAGGUGUUGACUAUGAUGAAACCUUCUCUCCAGUGGCAAUGGUUAAAUCCAUCAGGAUCUUACUUGCUAUUGCAGCUUUUUAUGAUUACGAAAUCUGGCAGAUAGAUGUCAAAACUGCUUUCCUUAACGGAAAUCUCCUUGAGGAUGUGUAUAUGACACAACCUGAGUGUUUUGUCACUCCAAAGGAUGCUGGAAAGGUAUGUAAGCUGCAACGAUCCAUUUAUGGAUUGAAGCAAGCCUCUCGGAGUUGGAAUCUUCUAUUUGAUGAAGCAGUCAAAGAAUUUGGCUUUAUUAAAAAUGAAGAUGAACCUUGUGUAUAUAAGAAGGUUAGUGGGAGUCACAUUGUAUUCCUAGUAUUAUAUGUUGAUGACAUAUUAAUUAUUGGGAAUGACAUUCCUUCCUUACAGGCUGUAAAAACAUGGUUAGGAAAAUGUUUCUCCAUGAAAGAUUUGGGCGAUGCUGCCUACAUUUUAGGUAUCAGGAUCUAUAGAGAUAGAUCAAGAAAAAUGCUCGGCCUAAGUUAAAGUACAUAUAUUGAUAAAGUCUUGAAAUAGUUCAGCAUGCAAAAGGCGAAAAGAGGAAACUUACCCGUGAAUCAUGGUGUAAAGAUCUCUAAGGCCCAAUGUCCUAAAUCACAAGAUGAUGAGGAGCGUAUAAGAAAGAUCCCUUAUGAUUUGGCAAUUGGAUCUAUCAUGUAUGCAAUGAUAUGUACUCGUCCAGAUGUCUCGUAUGCUUUGAGCAUGACGAGCAGAUACCAGUCGAAUCCAGGUGAAGGUCACUGGACAGCAGUCAAGAAUAUCCUCAAGUACCUGAAAAGGACUAAGGAUUCAUUCUUGGUAUAUGGAGGUGAAGACGAACUAGCAGUAAAGGGUUACACAGAUGCUAGUUUCCAGACUGACAAUGAUGACUAUAAGUCUCAGUCAGGUUUUGUGUUUUGCCUUAAUGGUGGUGCUGUUAGCUGGAAAAGUUCGAAGCAAGAGACAGUAGCUGAUUCUACAACAGAGGCUGAGUAUAUUGCUGCUUCUAGUGCAGCCAAGGAGGCUGUAUGGAUUAAAAAGUUCAUCACUGAACUUGGUGUUGUUCCAACCAUUGUUGAUCCGGUUGCUCUAUACUGUGAUAAUAAUGGAGCCAUUGCACAGGCUAAGGAACCCAGAUCUCACCAACGAUCCAAGCAUAUACUUAGGCGGUACCAUCUCAUCCGUGAAAUCAUUGAUAGAGGAGAUGUACAUAUAGGAAGAGUGCCAACAGAUGAUAAUGUUGCAGAUCCACUAACCAAGGCUUUGUCGCAGCAGAAGCACGACGGUCACACUAGUUCCAUGGGUAUUAGAUACAUGAGUGAUUGGCUCUAGUGCAAGUGGGAGACUGUUAGAGUUUAUGCCCUAGAGGCCAAUUAUUUGAUAUAAUUGCUUAACAUUUUGAUAUUAUAUUUGAUUAAAUAAAUGAAUGAUUUUAUUAUGGUUUUAUUUACUGCGUUAUAUAAAUGUUAACAUAAUAAAAUUCCUUAGAAUAGUGAUACAAUUUAUAUAGUUUGAAGUAUAUGACUUAAACAUGAGAUUAUAUAAUUACAAUUAGUAUCAUUGCUCUUAAAUGUCCCUAGUCGAGUACCAUUGUUGAUAGGACAACAAUGAUGCAUUGAGACUAGUAUGUGGAUUGACUGAUGACCAAAUCUCAUUGGUCAUAAAUAUAUGAGAUAUUAAGUCAAUGCAUAGGUAUGUGUUAGAGAACGGUGUACUGGACAUACCCACCAUGAGAAUUCUAUGUGGAGCAUGGAAGUGUCAUUAGCGAUUCUCAUAGUGACAAUGAUGUAAUGGUCCUCCGACCUGAAAUCACUAUAUUUCUACACAAGAAUUUAUGUACUUUGAUAUCAUCAAAUGUCACCUUUAAUAGGGUGGACUAUAAAGGUGAUUAUUGGGUACAUCAUGAAUCGUGUGAGGAAUAUGAGUGAUCUAGAUGGAAUUUAACCAUCCUAUAUAUUAGGGGUGAUAUCCAUAGGCCUCUUGAUUGAGUAGGACUAUGAAAUGCAUGGCCAUGCUCAAAUAUUGAUUUGUUUCAUAUAGUCUACUCAUUGAUCAAGAAAAUUCAGAUUUAAUUAUGAAGAUUAUGACACAUUCCAUGACUCGAGUUUAAUUUAGGAUAUUAAGGUUAAAAGGAUUAAAUUACAUUGAAACAUUGGUCACUAAAAGGUUGCAUCGAAUCAUCGAUCUUAUUAUUACUUGGGUAGCAGUGAUGCAUUACUAGAUGCCG